UACGAAGGGGGCUAGCGUUGUUCGGAUUUACUGGGCGUAAAGCGUACGUAGGCGGAUUGUUAAGUCAGGGGUGAAAUCCUGGAGCUCAACUCCAGAACUGCCUUUGAUACUGGCAAUCUUGAGUCCGGAAGAGGUGAGUGGAACUCCUAGUGUAGAGGUGGAAUUCGUAGAUAUUAGGGAGAACACCAGUGGCGAAGGCGGCUCACGGGUCCGGUACUGACGCUGAGGUGCGAAAGCGUGGGGAGCAAACAGG
rnacentral:rRNA from 1 species